rnacentral:rRNA from 1 species
GACGAACGCUGGCGGCGUGCUUAACACAUGCAAGUCGAACGGAAAGGCCCUGCUUGCAGGGUACUCGAGUGGCGAACGGGUGAGUAACACGUGGGUGAUCUGCCCUGCACUUCGGGAUAAGCCUGGGAAACUGGGUCUAAUACCGGAUAGGAGCCAUUUUUAGUGUGAUGGUUGGAAAGUUUUUUCGGUGUAGGAUGAGCUCGCGGCCUAUCAGCUUGUUGGUGGGGUAAUGGCCUACCAAGGCGGCGACGGGUAGCCGGCCUGAGAGGGUGGACGGCCACAUCGGGACUGAGAUACGGCCCAGACUCCUACGGGAGGCAUCAGUGGGGAAUAUUGCACAAUGGGCGCAAGCCUGAUGCAGCGACGCCGCGUGGGGGAUGACGGCCUUCGGGUUGUAAACUCCUUUCGCUAGGGACGAAGCUUUUUGUGACGGUACCUAGAUAAGAAGCACCGGCUAACUACGUG